CCAUUCUAACUCAGGUCCAUGGA
rnacentral:siRNA from 1 species